CUUCCGCGCUGGGCGGGGAGGUGUCGCCAGCGGGGCGGAGCGGAGCGCAGGAGGAGGAGGAGGAAGAGGAAGAGGAAGGGUCGGGGCGGUAUGGCUCCGCUGGAGACGAGGAGGGACCCGCGCCCGCUCUGCUCCCUGGUGCUGGCUGCUGUGGUGCUGCUUUGCUGGGGCUUCGUCCUCUACGGAGCACGGGUGGCUGCCCAGCGGCAGCUGGAGAGCAGCCUCCUGGCCCGGGGGCUGCCCUAGGCAAUGGCGGAGCCCCUGGGAGUCUUGCCCGGAGCUGGGCGUUGUCCCCGAGGGUACGGAGGGAUUCAUCAGAAGGCUGGAGGAGGAGCGCCGUGGCCAGUUGGGCAAACAAAGCAUAAUUAGCUCUUAGAAAAGAGAAAGUAAAUAAAGCAUAAACGGUUAUUAGGAAAGA